rnacentral:hammerhead_ribozyme from 1 species
AUGCAACUGACGAGCCCCAAAUAAGACGAAACGCGCGUUCUGGAU